AACGCGAAGAACCUUACCUGGGCUUGAACUACUGGUAGUAAGUCCUUGGAAACAGGGGCUGAUCCGCAAGGAAGCCAGCAGAGGUGCUGCAUGGUUGUCGUCAGCUCGUGUCGUGAGAUGUUGGGUUAAGUCCCGCAACGAGCGCAACCCCUCUCUCAUGUUGCUAUCCCCGCAAGGGGAGCACUCUUGAGAUACUGCCUUCGAUAAGAAGGAGGAAGGUGGGGACGACGUCAAAUCCUCAUGGCCCUUAUGUCCAGGGCUACACACGUGCUACAAUGGCCGGUACAACGGGAAGCAAUACCGCAAGGUGGAGCCAAACCCUGAAAGCCGGCCCCAGUUCAGAUUGUGGGCUGCAACUCGCCCACAUGAAGGUGGAAUCGCUAGUAAUCGCGAAUCAGCAGGUCGCGGUGAAUACGUUCCCGGGCCUUGUA
rnacentral:rRNA from 1 species